CCUCCCGAGUAGCUGGGACUACAGGCGCCUGCCACCACGCCUGGCUAAUUUUUUAUAUUUUUAGUAGAGACGGGGUUUCACCGUGUUAGCCAUGGUGGUCCCGAUCUCCUGACCUUGUGAUCCACCUGCCUUGGCCUCCCAGAGUGCUGGGAUUACAGGCGUGAGCCACCGCGCCCAGCCCAAACGGUCUUACACCUAGAAGGUACCAAAGGUGGCAUGCUGCUAAAACAAACAUGACAGCUCACCACAGCCAGAACUAGAACAACUAUACUACAGAUACAGAGCUGUUUUUUAUGGCCUUCAAUGUAUUACUUUGUCAGAGAUUCUUUGCAUGUCUAAAUACAAUCUUGCUCACUCUGGAGAACUAGGGAGCUGUGCUGUUCCCUUUAUAGAAAUGGUGUCACUUUUCCCUGGAUAGGUUAAGCUUGCUUCUGUGUUCAGUGAUGCUACUUUAUUAGAGAGACACCCACUCACUAGAUGAGAAAGUCAGACUUGGCAGUCAUCAGGGUUUUAUCUGAAGUUACUCUUGUAAAUGGGAGUUAUGUUGGCAAAUAGCUGGUCCUCUGAUGCAGGGCUUAAAGACAACACAGAUUACAUUCUUUAACCCAAAUUGCACACACAUCCCCAAAUUCUGUCUGUCCUUUCAGACCAACUGAAGGCCAUUUGGACUUCUUACAGCUUUCCCUGACCACUCCAGCCAAUAGUUUUUAAACUCACAGCAGUUACUUGUAAUACUAAUCUGAUACAAUCAUAUUCUUUUGUUAUCUAAGUAGUUACUGUCAUUAUAGCAUCAUUUUAAGGAGCAGCAAGCAUUAAUUUAAUACCCACUUUGAAAGGACUCAUGUUUCCCCAAUGAGACCAUCAGCUCUUCAAGUGCAGA
rnacentral:lncRNA from 1 species